GAGCGGGGACGGGGACGGGGACCUGCUUGGAAGAAAGUCACCGGCGUUGGCCCAGAACUGCUGCCGCGAGAGUCCGGGGGAAGCGGGGAGCAAAGACAGCCUGGCCAGUUGGGUCCUUCACUGCUCCCUCCAGCUGUGCUAACUGGCCUCCCAGUGCUGAAGUCUCCGCUUCCCCACUCACAGCCGGAGCUGGGCAAGCUGCCGGGGCCCCUGAUGGGCAUCGUCCCGUUUCUGGUGUGCCAGAGGUCUGCGAGGAGACGUGGCUCUUCCUGCAUUUUCCCCUAGUCCCUUAGGCUGUCCGGCCCCUCUCUGGCCAGGGGCAUAGACCCUGCCUCUGUCCCCGGUCUGGGCUCGACGGGCGGAUUCUGCUCUCACCGCUCCUCCACUGGCUUCAAAGCAGCAAGUUCUGAACUGGACUAGCACAAGAGGAGCAACAGGUGCCGGGGCCUGGAUCUGACUCCUCUUCUUGAAUACGUUGUAUUGAGUGUGCCAUUUAAUUUCUCAAAUUCUGACGGGUUGGGUGUCCUCACUGUGAGACCUGAGCCCCGGACACCUGGAUGAGUGUUGCUCCACAUAGCAAAGUUGGUUUGGCUUCACUACAUCGCUCACGGCUGUGAAAAAUGUGGCACCCUGGAGAUGUAAUUAAAAAGACCUAACCCCCGGUGUAGACACCUAAGUAAAUGGGAGAAUCCUUCCCUUAGCCUAGCUACGCUUCUCGGGGCUCGUCCGCACUUGAAACACGAAGUGGCAUAACUGUGCAGCUGUAGUGCUUCGG